CCUACGGGCGGCAGCAGUCGAGAAUCAUUCACAAUGGGGGAAACCCUGAUGGUGCGACGCCGCGUGGGGGAAUGAAGGUCUUCGGAUUGUAAACCCCUGUCAUGUGGGAGCAAAUUAAAAAGAUAGUACCACAAGAGGAAGAGACGGCUAACUCUGUGCCAGCAGCCGCGGUAAUACAGAGGUCUCAAGGGUUGGUGGGAAUCACUGGGCGUAAAGGGUGGGUAGGCGGUUUGGUAAGUCGUGUGGGAAAGGGGCGGGCUCAACCCGCGGACGGCACAUGAUACUGCGAGACUAGAGUAAUGGAGGGGGAACCGGAAUUCUCGGUGUAGCAGUGAAAUGCGUAGAUAUCGGGAGGAACACUCGUGGCGAAGGCUGGUUCCUGGACAUUAACUGACGCUGAGGCACGAAGGCCAGGGGAGCGAAAGGGAUUAGAUACCCUAGUAGUC
rnacentral:rRNA from 1 species